GUGCCAGCCGCCGCGGUAAUACGGAGGAGGCAAGCGUUAUCCGGAAUUAUUGGGCGUAAAGGGUCCGUAGGUGGCAAUGCAAGUCUGCUGUUAAAGCCCGAGGCUCAACCUCGGAAAGGCAGUGGAAACUGAAUUGCUUGAGAGCAGUAGGAGCAGAGGGAAUUCCCAGUGUAGCGGUGAAAUGCGUAGAUAUUGGGAAGAACACCGAUGGCGAAAGCACUCUGCUGGGCUGCGACUGACACUGAGGGACGAAAGCUAGGGGAGCGAAACGGAUUAGAUACCCGUGUAGUCCUAGCCGUAAACGAUGGAUACUCGAUGUGGUGGGGAUCGACCCCUGCCGUGUCCAAGCUAACGCGAUAAGUAUCCCGCCUGGGGAGUACGCUCGCAAGAGUGAAACUUAAAUGAAUUGGCGGGG
rnacentral:rRNA from 1 species